GCAUUGGUGGUUUAGCGGUAGAAUUCUCGCCUUCUAUGAGGGAGACCUGGGUUCGAUUCCCAGCCAAUGUA
rfam:Loxodonta africana unplaced genomic scaffold scaffold_23, whole genome shotgun sequence.